AGACAUUAAGUUCGGAGCAGCCCAGGACUGCGGAUCUAGCCUUUAUCCCUCCGGUCUCCAGACCCACUCAGGUCCAGGUAGCCGAGCAGAGACAGCGGAAACCCGGUGCACAUCUCAGGCCCGGCCACCAGUUGCUGAGACAGACGGAAAACCCAUCCGUUUGUAGGAGCAUGGCCUUUUCCUGUAUUGCUUCUUACCACUGACGCUGAGCUCCUUGAGCCCUGGCCCCUGGACACCAUCGUCAGGAAGACUUCAUGAAUGUGCUGCCCACCCUCUGAGAGAAGAGGAACAUCAACUACAGUUUCUCACUAAAUUGCCUUCUUCAUUUCAAGUAAUGGCUGUCAUCAGGGUCAGAUUAAAGAUGAACCAGCUGGACAACUACUUGGAAGACUGACCUCUAAGGGCAAUGAAAUGUCAAUACUGUGCUAACACAGCCAUGAAAAUACAAGGAGAGGAAAAUGUAUUUAUCAGCCCUUUUCUCAGGGAGAAUUCUGUGUGGGGUUAGAAGGAAUAGUUUGAUAAAUAUUCCUUAGGGGUGUUGAGUAGAGAGGAAUUAGGAUAUAAAGAAGUGUGAGACUGUCCUGUUUUUCCUACAAGGAUAUAUAAGUUAGGUGCUCCAGCUGGAUUGUUUAUGACCAUGGAGGGUAGGCUGAGUACUGCAAUGGUCCUCCUGCUCUGUUCUUCCCCAUGCAGAGCUCAGCCUUUCCUCUAGUAGAAAUUGAACAAGUAGUAGUUUGAAGGAGACACCAAUUCAUUAGCCUAUGUGUCUCUUCUCUGUGUUUCCAGACUUGACAAUGAAAACAUUGGCAUAGACUAUGUAUUUCCCAGUUCUAGUAUAUGAGCCCUUAGAGUGCCUUUGUUCACUUGGAGGUGAGGGUCAUUGCUAACAUUGUUGUUCAAGUCAAAUGGAACUUGAACUCUUUGCCUAUGGGGCAUAUGAUCAGACCCUGUGUUGUAUUAAUUAGAUCAAUAGACAUACCAGAUGGGGCUGGGACAUUAAAAGAUAUUUGACUGAA